AUACGGAGGAUCCGAGCGUUAUCCGGAUUUAUUGGGUUUAAAGGGUGCGCAGGCGGCCAUUUAAGUCAGCGGUUAAACCGUGGGGCUCAACCCCAUUCUGCCGUUGAUACUGGGUGGCUUGAUUGCGGUCGAGGUUGGCGGAAUUCGUUGUGUAGCGGUGAAAUGCUUAGAUAUGACGAAGAACUCCGAUUGCGUAGGCAGCUGACCAGACCGCAAAUGACGCUCAUGCACGAAAGUGCGGGGAUCGAACAGGAUUAGAUACCCUGGUAGUCCGCACAGUAAACGAUGAAUACUUGUUUUCGGCGAUAUAAUGUCGGAGGCAAAGCGAAAGCGAUAAGUAUUCCACCUGGGGAGUACGCCGGCAACGGUGAAACUCAAAUGAAUUGACGGGG
rnacentral:rRNA from 1 species